rnacentral:rRNA from 1 species
AACGAACGCUGGCGGCAUGCCUAACACAUGCAAGUCGAACGAGACCUUCGGGUCUAGUGGCGCACGGGUGCGUAACGCGUGGGAACCUGCCCUUAGGUUCGGAAUAACUCCCCGAAAGGGGUGCUAAUACCGGAUAAUGUCUUCGGACCAAAGAUUUAUCGCCUUUGGAUGGUCCCGCGUUGGAUUAGCUAGUUGGUAGGGUAAAAGCCUACCAAGGCGACGAUCCAUAGCUGGUCUGAGAGGAUGAUCAGCCACACUGGGACUGAGACACGGCCCAGACUCCUACGGGAGGCAGCAGUGGGGAAUAUUGGACAAUGGGCGAAAGCCUGAUCCAGCAAUGCCGCGUGAGUGAUGAAGGCCUGAGGGUUGUAAAGCUCUUUUACCCGGGAUGAUAAUGACAGUACCGGGAGAAUAAGCUCCGGCUAACUCCGUG